rnacentral:tRNA from 1 species
GCGGACGUGGCUCACCUGGUAGAGCAUCACCUUGCCAAGGUGAGGGUCGCGGGUUCGAAUCCCGUCGUCCGCUC